rnacentral:rRNA from 1 species
UACGUAGGGUGCGAGCGUUAAUCGGAAUUACUGGGCGUAAAGCGUGCGCAGGCGGUGAUGUAAGACAGAUGUGAAAUCCCCGGGCUCAACCUGGGAACUGCAUUUGUGACUGCAUCGCUGGAGUGCGGCAGAGGGGGAUGGAAUUCCGCGUGUAGCAGUGAAAUGCGUAGAGAUGCGGAGGAACACCGAUGGCGAAGGCAGCCCCCUGGGCUAGCACUGACGCUCAGGCACGAAAGCGUGGGGAGCAAACAGG